rnacentral:rRNA from 1 species
AGGAAGGUGGGGAUGACGUCAAGUCAUCAUGGCCCUUACGACCAGGGCUACACACGUGCUACAAUGGCGCAUACAAAGAGAAGCGACCUCGCGAGAGCAAGCGGACCUCAUAAAGUGCGUCGUAGUCCGGAUUGGAGUCUGCAACUCGACUCCAUGAAGUCGGAAUCGCUAGUAAUCGUGGAUCAGAAUGCCACGGUGAAUACGUUCCCGGGCCUUGUACACACCGCCCGUCACACCAUGGGAGUGGGUUGCAAAAGAAGUAGGUAGCUUAACCUUCGGGAGGGCGCUUACCACUUUGUGAUUCAUGACUGGGGUGAAGUCGUAACAAGGUAACCGUAGGGGAACCUGCGGUUGGAUCACCUCCUU